GCCAAUGUGGUCUAGUGGUUUUUUGAGCGUUUGACUACGACUCUGGAGACCAGGGUUCAAAUCCCAGCACAGCCU